CCUGAAGAGUGAAGGUUCAUAUCAACUUAAAAAAUAUGUAUAUCUAUAUAUAUAUCUAUGUGUGUAUUGUCAUCAUCUAUGUAAAUGUAAAUUGUAUUUGUUAAGUAACAAACAAAACAAAAAAUAAAAAAAAUGGAAUGGAAAUUAAAAUUGGCGCAAUUUGCUCAAACAUAUUAAAUCAAAGAAAAAGUUAAUUCUCUCAAAAAAAAAAAUAAAUAAUUUUCCUUUCCUUGUAUUCCUUAGUUUACUAUGUGUGUGUUUUUUUUCUCUUUUUUUUUAAUAGUGGAAAUUUUAAAGAAUUUAGUUCAACUAAUGAAAUAAAAAACAAUGUAGAAGAAGAUGAAAAAAACAAGAAGAGAAAACGUAAGAACUUUCUAAAUGGAAAUUAAUUAAACAAAUACAUAUAUUCAAAUUCAUGAUAACGACAAACAGAAAACAAAAAAUGAACAACUAAAAUGAACCCAAAAACAAUCUAGUUUUUAUUGUAAUUCCGUGUCUGUGUGUGUAUUUCAGUAAUUAAUGUGAAAAAAGCAAGGUCCUACAUUAAUAAAAAGAGCGACAACAACAACAUGAAACCAAAAAAUGAAAAAAACCCUUACAAAAAAAUGAAAAAUCCUAACGAAAAAAACCCAAAAAAAAGAACACCAAUGAAAACCCAAAAAGAAGAAGGACAAAACAUAAAGAAACUAGCGAAAUAAAUAAAAUACAAAAUAUUUGAAAAUAAACCAAGAACAACAAAUAAGUGUGAAAACGUUUUUGAUUACAUAUCGAUAGGCUUUUAUCGUGACCUUGAUGUUUCCACUAUUGUGGAAAUCAAUGGAAAGCCAUUGCCGCAUGUCAUCAAUCGGCUCUCUUAUGCGAGUGACGCGUCAUGCCGUAGCUCCCCUCGACCGCUUUGCGUUUCUGUCAGUCCGCACAAAGGUUAAGCUUGAAGGUGUGAAGAUCUACUGAAACCGGAUCUGUAUAUUUUAUUGCCCAGUGAAGAGGGUUGUUCGGGCAGGUUUGUUGCCUCUGGUGUCAGGUGACAACGAAACCGCACAUGCAAUCUGCCAGGUCUCAAGGGAUUGGGCAUCGAAUAGGCCACAGCAGACAGAGGAGGAGAUAAGUUUGAAUAAGAUUACAUUUUUACAAGAGCGAUAAAAGAUCACACUCUAAAAACGAGAAAACGCUAGAAUAACAUAACUAAUUAUGGAAACUACUUAUGCCCUACAUACAUCCACCUUUUAUCACAAAUACAAUAUACCCUAUUUCCUCUUCGAGUACCGGGUAUAAUAAAGAGAGCUACCUGCAAAUGAGAUGCUGCAGUAACAUUGGCCCCAGCUGAAACCUAGCAGCAACCUGGUCUGUGG
rnacentral:lncRNA from 1 species